rnacentral:rRNA from 1 species
UAAGGACAAUUGAAUGGCCGCGGUAACACUGACCGUGAUAAUGUAGCGUAAUCAAUAGCCAAUUAAUUGUUGGCCAGUAUGAAUGGCGCCACGAAGGCCCCACUGUCUUAAGGAAAUUCCCAGUGAAAUUGAAUUCGUAGUGAAGAUGCUACGUGCAAUUUGUUAGACGAAAAGACCCCGUUGAGCUUUACUGGAGCACUUACAUGGCCCUGGCCUUCCCAUGCUUGGGAAUCGGCCGAAUUUAAAUGGGCGGCUUAGAUUAUGUGGCAGCCCCCCGCUGGGGCAAAUGAAACCCCACUCCCCCAUGUCAAAGGGGCUAACCCCCCCCCUUGGGGGGACAGUGUAAGUAGGACAGUUUGGUUGGGGCGACCGCCUUUUAAAGAGUAACGAAGGUGCGCUUAAGGUGCGCAAUUAAUGACUGAAGCCUGACUGCGAGGGGGACACCCCGAGCAGACACCCCAAAGCCCGCCCGAAGGGCGGCGGUGGGGUGGGCCAUAGUGACCCGUUAAUUUAGAGUGGAAUASUUAACGAUCAACGAAUAAAAGUUACCACGGGGAUAACAGCGUAAUAUCGUUAGAGAGUUCACAUCGACGACGAUGU